CGGUGCUCGAGCUGUGGUGCGUGCCGCUAAGUUGUGCGUUCCAGGGUGCACUCGCCGGCGAGGCUGCACGGCGCCGGUUUCAUUGCUAAAAUCCGACGGACUUGUUGCAGAACUCGUUUUUUUUGUCGGGAAAGGGCUUCCCCGUGUAACUUUACAGCAGUUAUCGUAGAUAAGACUUGCAAAUUACAGAUGUGGACGGUGAGGGAACGGGAAUUUCACUGAAAGCGCCUGAGAACCAGUAAGAGACCUGCAACAGCUUUGUGCUCCACUGGCGAAUGCUUCCUCCCCUAAUACACAUUAUGUGUGCUUGGAGACACAAGGAGUAAGAUACAGCCCCUCAAGGGACUCGUCAUAGGGAGAGGACACAGCUUUGGGAAUAAAGGGGCCACAAAGGAGGAGAGAGGAGUUUGCUGAAACUUCCCAAGCUCCCAUUCCAGCAGUUCCUGAAGGAUUCAUUUCUCUCUGAGGAUCUCAUGAGGUGGCUUAGCAGCUAGAAUCUCUUCCUUAACAGUGGGAAGAACAACUCCUGGAAAUUUAGGUCGACUUUGACUGGAUUUAAAAGAAAGCUGUACAAUUCCACUUCUGUAUAUACAACCAAAGGAAAUGAGAUGUGCAUACCCAUGUUCAAUGAAGCAUUAUUCACAAUAGCCAAAAUGUGGAACCAAUCCUUAAACAAAAGGAAAACAGAAAAUCUGCUCAAGUCCCUGCAGGCACCUGAGAAAAUCACAACCCACACUUGCGAACCCCUAGGAGACCUAAAGCUGUGGUUUUACAAAUAAACAGAUAAGUAACAUUCCUACUCUUUCCUAUAGGUACUCAAUCUUCUUAACAACUCCCAUCCCACACAGGUUUGCAUCCCCAGCAGAUACAUAUGGCUAUGUGGUCACCCAUUCGAUCAGCCUAUAAAAGACUUGUCUUAUUUGAUAUUGUGAAACCCAUGGUUAUCAGUGUAUAUGAAAAUGUUUGGUUCAGGGGUCAAUGUACAAUAUGACAAGCAAAGUCCUCUAAUACACAGUUAUAUAAAAUCACUCACCUGAGAGCCAAGUGGACAAUUGGCCUUAUAUUGGCUGGAGUUGGAGCCCCAGAGGGAAAAUUUGCCUAUUAUUAGGCAACUCUUCAAAACUUUACUUAUUCGUUUCUAAACACUGUCUCAUAAAAUGGGGGAUGCUUUAGAUGAAUUAAGAUUAGCACUAGAUUACUUAUUCGUUGAAAAUUAGCACUAGAUUUCUUAUUGGUUGAACAAGGAGGAGUGUGCACCAUAAUCAAUAUAACCUGCUGCAGUUAUGUAAACACCUCAGGUCACAUAGAAGAAGAUAUACAGAAAAUACAUGAACAAGCUGUGUGGUUGCGUAAAUAUAACCAAGGCACCAAUCCCAACUGUAUCUGGUCAGCCAUUAGAAGCACCCUCCUGAGUCUCACUUGGUUGUUGCCCUUCCUAGGAACUUUGAUAGUUGUCUUAUUAUUAAUCUUUGGCCCUUGCUUGUUUAAAUUCUUGGUAAAGUUUGUGUUUUUUAGAUUACAACAAUUCCACAUAAAGAUGAUACUGACACAAAGCUUCCAAUCCAUCCCGUCUUCUGAACCGGGAAAUAAAGACACCCUGCCUUUAGGUGUCUUUAGAUCUAGAUCAGGCAUCUAGAGAUUUUUACUCCUCCAAUACUUGGCAGGGUCUAUGCCCGUAGACUCAUCAGGAUACCAUGUAAAUGAGGACCUCCCUUGGUACCCCAGAGGCCAACUGUAGACCCUUAUGAGAAAAUCCUGUCCCCAAAAUGAACAUCCACUGUCAGCAGGAAGAAGUUACAGAAGACCAGCCUUUGCCCUUACGAUUAAGGGUCCUCUUGUAAGUAGAGAGGGGAAUGUUAGGAAAGCAGGAGCCUAGGUGAUCCAGAGUGACACCAUUUUAAAAUAAACUCCACCUGAAAACUAGCAAGGCAUCUGCACACAUCUGUUUAGCAAGUAUAUACUUCUGUAACUGGAAUAAAAAGCGUUAUUUUAGAAUAUGCCUAUAGUUUGUAAUAAUUAGCCGAGGGAAAAAAAGUUCACAUUGGUGUAGGAAAAGUGCCCUAAUGGUCAUGGGUAAUAAUGGGACCGUGGUUCUGGUCAGUGAUUUGAUGGAAGGGGUGUAGAUAAUAUAUUGUUGUAAAUAAUAAAAAUAAAAAAUUGUUGUAAGUAAUAAAAAUAAAAUAAUAUUGUUGUAAGUAAUAAAGUAGGAGAAAUAUUUGGUCUUUUGCUUUUGGGUUAGUGCAACAGUAGUACCAUUACUUGGAGGAGAAGUUAGAGAAGGACAAGAAUAGGCUUGAAUAAGAUGAGUGAGAAGAGAGAAAAAUUCCGUAAGUGGAGAUGGCCAGGGAACACCAGGGCAGCAGAAUCUAACUCUGAAUUUAAUGCUGUUGUCUGUUCAUAUUGCACUGCGCUGUAAUCUCCCUAUCUUUCCUAAACCAUUGGCAAAGUCUGCUAUCCACUGGGGCCUUGGGUCGGUGGUGCUUUGGGAAAUACCAGAAGAGGGAAAGUACGGCAAAUGUGCAGUGUCACAGAUGAUAGGAGGAAAGCUGGCCAGUGGGAUGAUUAAAACAAUUUCGGUGGGAGUGGGAAUUCAGACCAUGUAAAUGGUCUGAAUUAAGAAAAUUUCAAGAAACAAAAAAUGUUUCUAAUGAGCCAAAGUGAAAGCUCUUCAUGAUUUCUUUAUAGAGGCUCUCUAGUGCUUGUCCUAAUUUCCUGAAAUCUCAUGGGUAUCUUACUCUCCUGGUGCCCGCCUCAAACAUUCACUGUAGCAAUUAUAUGAGCAGCCUAGAGAAUCCCAAUCCCAGUGGUCUUGCUCCCUGGAUCUACUUUCUCUUAAAAAUCAUUCCCCUAAGUUUCCGUCACUUGGUUGAAGUUUAGUAGAUAUCUCCACAUCUCCAGCUAGAACAGCACCAGAAUUUCAGGACUAGGGCAAUAGAGUCUGAUAUUAAAUUCUAUUUCUAUCUAUCUAUCUAUCAUCUAUCUAUCUAUCUAUCUAUCUAUCUAUCUAUCUAUCUAUCUAUCUACAGAACAAUUUGUGGGAUAGUAGCUUUGGGGUCCCAGAUCUAGGAUGGGCCUGGUCCUCCAUGCUGGUUCUCCUGGGUGAUAUUUCUGUUAGUUUGAACAGUAAUCACACUUUUAUUACUGUUUCAUCUUUUUUUUUUCACUCUUAGACUGAUUUUAUCAUGUGUAUAAAACAUACACACACCUACAUCUCAAGGAUAAACAUUAAUCCUUGAAAAAUAUGUGGUCUAAAACUAUAUUGAGGAGAGAAAGAUAGGACACUUUAAUUGCCACAUGAUUAACACGAGGUCACCACACAGCUUUCACAAAUCUACAAGUCAUUCUAUUUAGGCUGAGUCAAGUUCUCCCUUGGGCCAGCCAGAGCACAAAUAAUGGAGCAAUGUGACUCUUCAAUGACAGAUCUCUGAUUUCCAGAAAAGAGACUUUGAAAUACCCAAUUCUAGUAAAUAUGCAAUUAAAUUUCCAGCUAAAUGACCUUUGCUCCUGUAGUCUUCAUCUUGGGGAAGGGAAAGAAGUCUUAUUCUGUUUAAUAGUUUGAUUUUUAUAAUAGGGUUUGUCUCUGUUAUAAAUCUUGUUUGAUAUUUAAAAUGUUAGCUAAGAGAAAACUUCUGUUUGUUUUUAUUUAGUGGGAAGAAACUAACCCUCAUUGAGUGCCUAGUUAACAUCAGGCACUUUGUACACAUAAUCAAUUGAAUCUUGACCACAACCCUGUGAGGUGAAAAAUGAGAAGAUUAAAUAAGCCAUGGGAAGAUUUUUUAAAAUGACAUGAAACUCCAAGGGUAAAAAGUAGGCUGGGAAAUCUUAGGAUGGUGAACCAUCAUGUUUCCUGAAUGUGAAUCCUGUACCUGGUUUGACUGUAGUCACCCCUUCUCCAACACUCUCCACGAUGCCGGCUGCCUCAUGGCCUAAAAUCACAGGAAGUGGGGUCACCAUGGUACCACUAACCACGUGGUCAUCUGUGCCACAGAUUCCUACAGCCACCAUCUACAGAGUGAAGAGAAGAUGUUUAUAAAAGAUUGAUGUUCAACAUGAUCAAUGCCAAAUAAAUAUCAGAAUACUUGGAAGUAAAGUACUAAUAGUAGGAGUUCCUGAUUAUCAGGUGCCUAUGAUGUGACAGGCACAUUGUGGCCUGUGCUCGACCAGGAGACUGGUGAGUCCUUGUGGAUUUCUUCCCUGCUCAAGUGCAUAAAGCAGGUGUAUUGCAUAGCUUUUCCAGGCUGAGAUCAAAGACGGAGAUGUGCCUACCCGCAGAUCCUAGAUGGCCAUGUUUGCAACAGAGGUAAUGAUGAGCAGUGCGAAGAUGUGACUCCAAAGCCUGGAGAAGGACAGACCAGCAUCCCUGCAAGAGAUCCAACUGUCUUCUUUUCCGCAGAGGUCCAUAAUUUACAUGGGCCUGACAAAGAAUACUGUAACUUGCAGAAAUUAUCUUCAGUUCAAAUCCUUCAUUUUGGGGGUUAAAUAACUUGCCCAAGAUGUCGAGGGAGCGGAAAUACUUGCUGGUCUUGCAGCGGCUGUGGAGCCUGGAAUCCUGCCAAGAAGAGCAUGUGUGAGAGAUCAAAAUGUUUGCUUACAUUCCUCCUGUGAAGGGAGUUGGGAAAUAACCUAAGAAGCCCAAUCCAAAAACAAAGAUGUACCAUCCAGUCUUCUCUGUGAGAACCAAACUACAAACCAUCUGAAUGUUCCAAAAGUGUUUUGAUGAUGUAUUGAUGUAUUUUAAAUUAUCCUGAAAAUGUUCUUGGCAGAUGCUUAAACAUGUAAUUACUGAGAUGAUGUAGAAAUACCAAGUGUUUAUUAAAACAAUACAGAGUAAUACAAAUGGUAUGUUUGUCGCAAUAUAAAAGUAUCUAAAAAUUAAAGAGUUCUUUAAUGGUGGAGAUUGUUUUCCUUUUUGAAGUUAAAAUAUAAAUUUUUGUAAAAAGCACAAAUUAUUACUAUUUAUAGCUAACAUUUAUGGAGUGCUGACUAUGCUCAUUUUUGAGCAUACAUUGCCUCAUUUAGUGCAAUGUUUAGCAUUAACUUAUGAGGUAAAUGCCAUUGCCAUGCACAUUGUACAGAUGAAGACAUUGAGGUUUAGAGAGAUUGCAU
rnacentral:lncRNA from 1 species